AGACAGUCUCACUGUCAACCAGGCUGGAGUGUAGUGGUGUGAUCUCAGUUCACUGCAACCUCCACCUCCGAGUUCAAGCGAUUCUCCUGCCCCAGCCUCCCGAGUAGCUGGGACUACAGGUGCGCACCACCAUGCCCGGCUAAUUUUUGUAUUUUUUAGUAGAGAUGGGGUUUCACCAUAUUGGCCAGGCUGGUCUCGAACUCCUGACUUCGUGAUCCGCCCGCCUUGACCUCCCAAAGUGCUGGGAUUACAGGCAUGAGCCACUGCACCUGGCCUUAUCCUUUUUUUUUGAACAGUGCAAAUGUCACCUUCUCUAUAAAGCCUUCCCUUACAUCUCCUCCCAGGUUUGUUUAUAGCAUAUCUCACUGUAGUGUUAUUUUACUUCUUAUGUGUCUGUCUCCCUUGCUAAUUUCAAACUCCUCAGAGGAAGACUGUAAUUUAUUCAUCUCUGUUUCCUCAGGACCUAGCAGUGUUUUUGUAUAUGUUAGGCAGCUUAAUACAUGAUCUUCGCAUGAACUGGUUUACCCCCUGUACAUGAUGAGAGACUAGAGUUGCCACCAAGUUACCUAUCCGGGGGCCAGCCUGUGGGAUCAGAUGGGCAGGAUUGGGUGGGCCCCCUUACCAUGGUGUGCCCUGGAAAACUGCUCAUCUUGCUAGAUUGAGGAUAUAGAGCUGGCUUCCAACAGAACUUUGGAACCAUCCUGCCAGCAAGGUCAGACUGUCAAUAAAUGGGAAUUUAUUG
rnacentral:lncRNA from 1 species